AUGCCUCUUCCCAAGAAGACUCAAGCUAAUGCUUCUCAAGUUGAGAAAUCAAGUGAGAAGAAAGUGAAGAGUAGACGUUGCUACCUAUGUCGUGAGAAAGGUCACCUCUCUUCUUCAUGCACUAGUGGUAACUUAUCCAACCCAAUUAUUAUUGAUGAUGUUUAUUCUCUUGGGAAUGAUAAGGUUGGCAAUGUGUUUGCCAAGUUUGUUGGUACUCAAAGUGGUUUGAAGCAAAGAACCAUUUGGGUAACCAAGCCUAUUGUGACUAACCUCUUAGGACCCAACUUGGUUGGGGGCCAACUAGCUCAAACUUGA
rnacentral:rRNA from 1 species